AUGAAUGGGGCUCCCCUCCCCCCACGGGGAUCCCGCGGCGGCGCAGGUCCGUCCAGUCAGCCCCGGGUUGGGCAGACAAAGGGGCACCGGGGGACAAAUCGAGCGCUUCCUCAAACUUGCCGGCCGCCACCCCUCCCCGAAACAAAGGAGCCCCCCCCAGCCUCCGCCCGCCCCCAACGCGCCGGCACUCUGGGGAGCAGCCAAAACGGGGUAUUGUGCAGCCUGCAGGGAGCGCGCCGCACCCCAGCCCAAGCCCGGGAGACACUGGGGGACCUGCCCCUCCAGAGCCCCGGAGGCGGGCGGAGCGUGCGGGAGCCCCGGGCCGCCGGCCUGACCCCGGAGGGAGGGAACCGCUGGCCCCCACGCGGGACAAGUUCGCGCCACCCCGCCCCACCCCACCCCGCGCCCGGCCGGCCACCCGGCCGGCCGAGCCCCACACACUCACCUCGCCGCGAGCAGCGCAACUUGCGGCGGCGCCGCCGCCCCGAACCUCCCUCCAGCCGGCCGUCUCCGAGCCCGGGCCGUGCCGCGGCCGAGGAGGGCCCGGCGCCCGGAGCAGCCGCGCGCCGCCCCCGGGCCGCCCCCGCCCCGCCGCAGCCGAGUCCCCGAGAGGCGCGGGCGCUGGAAAGUUUCGGAUGCCGAAUGGCGGCCGAGGGCGCUGCGGCGGCGGCGGCGGCAGCAGCGGCGGGGCGGGGGCGCUGGCGGCACCUCGCUCCCGAGCGCAGAGAGUGCGGGGGGGGGGCUGGGGCGGGAGCGGUGGCGGCGGCAGAGGGCGGGACGGCGGGAGGGACCGGCAAGGGCAGUGACCUCCGGGGGGAGCGGCCGCCAGCGCGCCGACCCCGGCCGGGAGGACUGCCAGGGAGGCCGCCUCCGCCGCCGGGCCGGCCCCUCCCCCCACGGCCCCCAGCCCGCACCCUCCCCCACCGCCCGGGGACUGGAGCCCGGGUACCCCCCCGAGUCCCCCCACCCACGCCCGGGGGGAGGGGCGCGUCCCAAGCUGGUCCCUCCCCCACGGAGGGUGAGGACGCCAGGCCUGCCCUCCCCCAUAGCCACGAGGGGGAGAGUCCGCCCCCAACACAGCCCCUCCCCCAGGGCUCCAGGGCAGACUCGCGUCCCGGCCCGCCCCGCCCCCAAGGCGGGGUAACCUGCGACCCUCCCCCGUCCCUCACCCCUGACUCUGCUCUCCCCGGCGCGCCCGGAGUGGCUGAAGGGAAUCCGGGUCUCUCUAGUGUAUCCGAACCCCGUCCCUCCCUCGUGGCCUCCAUGCGGGCGGAAGGAGACGCAGGCCUGUGCCCACCCCGUCCCAGGCCCGGACCCAGCCAGCACGGGACAGGAGCCUGGUCACCAGCACCGCGGUUGCCAGGGGAGGGGGGAACCGGGCCACCGCUGUUACCCUCCCCCACCUCCAAGAAGCAGCCGCCCAGCUGCCCUAGCAGAACCCCUGCAACCUGCCUGAGGACGCCGCUCCCUCAAAAUCGGCGGCCAGGAGGGCACCCCAAUGGUCUCCUCCCCUCCCCGGAAAAGUGGGGGCCCAGGGGGAGCCUCGACCUUUGCAAAAUGCCUCCAGCGAAGAGCCGGCAGUGCGUGGGGAGAAAGAAAGUCGGGCCCAACGGGGUGGAGGCUCCCGGCGGGGGCAGGGGGAAGAAGCCGGGCCCUCGGGCCUUCUCACCCCCGCCCCCGCCCGGAGGCGUCGGGCGUCGGGCCCCGGCCAAGUGCUAA
rnacentral:lncRNA from 1 species